CCUACGGGUGGCAGCAGUGAGGAAUAUUGGUCAAUGGUCGGGAGACUGAACCAGCCAAGCCGCGUGCGGGAUGAAGGUACAGAGUAUCGUAAACCUCUUUUGUCAGGGAACAAAGGCGGGGACGUGUCCCCGGAUGAGUGUACCUGAAGAAAAAGCAUCGGCUAACUCCGUGCCAGCAGCCGCGGUAAUACGGAGGAUGCGAGCGUUAUCCGGAUUUAUUGGGUUUAAAGGGUGCGCAGGCGGUUUGUUAAGUUAGCGGUGAAAUGCCGGGGCUCAACCCCGGCACCGCCUUUAAAACGGGCAGUCUAGAGUUGGAGAGAGGUAGGCGGAAUGCGAGGUGUAGCGGUGAAAUGCAUAGAGAUCGCGCAGAACACCGAUUGCGAAGGCAGCAUGCCGGCUCCACACUGACGUUGAGGCACGAAAGCGUGGGUAUCGAACAGGAUUAGAUACCCCAGUAGUC
rnacentral:rRNA from 1 species